UACGUAGGGUGCGAGCGUUUGUCCGGAAUUAUUGGGCGUAAAGAGCUCGUAGGCGGUCUGUCGCGUCGAUCGUGAAAACUUGGGGCUUAACCCUGAGCUUGCGGUCGAUACGGGCAUGACUGGAGUUCGGCAGGGGAGACUGGAAUUCCUGGUGUAGCGGUGAAAUGCGCAGAUAUCAGGAGGAACACCGGUGGCGAAGGCGGGUCUCUGGGCAACAACUGACGCUGAGGAGCGAAAGCGUGGGGAGCGAACAGG
rnacentral:rRNA from 1 species